rnacentral:tRNA from 1 species
UCCCUGGUGGCUCAGUGGUAAAGAAUCUGCCUGCAACGAAGGAGACCCAGGUUCGAUUCCUGGGUUGGGAA